rnacentral:rRNA from 1 species
GACGAACGCUGGCGGCGUGCCUAAUACAUGCAAGUAGAACGCUGAAGGAGGAGCUUGCUUCUCUGGAUGAGUUGCGAACGGGUGAGUAACGCGUAGGUAACCUGCCUGGUAGCGGGGGAUAACUAUUGGAAACGAUAGCUAAUACCGCAUAAGAGUAGAUGUUGCAUGACAUUUACUUAAAAGGUGCAAUUGCAUCACUACCAGAUGGACCUGCGUUGUAUUAGCUAGUUGGUGAGGUAACGGCUCACCAAGGCAACGAUACAUAGCCGACCUGAGAGGGGGAUCGGCCACACUGGGACUGAGACACGGCCCAGACUCCUACGGGAGGCAGCAGUAGGGAAUCUUCGGCAAUGGACGGAAGUCUGACCGAGCAACGCCGCGUGAGUGAAGAAGGUUUUCGGAUCGUAAAGCUCUGUUGUAAGAGAAGAACGAGUGUGAGAGUGGAAAGUUCACACUGUGACGGUAUCUUACCAGAAAGAGACGGCUAACUACGUG